AUACGGAGGAUCCGAGCGUUAUCCGGAUUUAUUGGGUUUAAAGGGUGCGCAGGCGGCCAUUUAGGUCAGCGGUUAAAUCGUGGGGCUCAACCCCAUUCUGCCGUUGAUACUGGGUGGCUUGAUUGCGGUCGAGGUUGGCGGAAUUCGUUGUGUAGCGGUGAAAUGCAUAGAUAUGACGAAGAACACCGAUUGCGUAGGCAGCUGACCAGACCGCAAAUGACGCUCAUGCACGAAAGUGCGGGGAUCGAACAGGAUUAGAUACCCUGGUAGUCCGCACAGUAAACGAUGAAUACUUGUUUUCGGCGAUAUAAUGUCGGAGGCAAAGCGAAAGCGAUAAGUAUUCCACCUGGGGAGUACGCCGGCAACGGUGAAACUCAAAGGAAUUGGCGGGG
rnacentral:rRNA from 1 species